UAGCUGCCCUCUCUCCUUGCUCAGCGCUGUGCAAAAAUAAAGUUCCUACUUUCUUCCACCACCCCUGGUGUCAGAGAUUGGCUUGCUGCGCGACGGGUGAGUGAAUUCACUUCAGGUUCGGUAACAAUUUGGCGACCCAGAUGGGACAAUGUCCCAGGUGGACGUCUCGCCCUUGGCACACCGGCCUCUGGUGAAAGGCCUCUCUUGGAAGCUGUCCUGCAGCUGCCUGAGCCCCUUGUCUCAGGGACAGCCCCAAGUGGCUGGCUGCUAGCCAGACGUCGUUGGCCCACGGCGCUUUUGCUUUGGUAGUGGAAGAAACUAGGUUUAGGACAUAGGAAGACGUCUCUUGUAAGUAGCUGGUAGUUUUUGUUCUUGUCUUUGUGUUAAACUUUUCCAACAGGACCGGCCGGAAACAAUGGGUACCUUGGCAGCCCUCUGGGCUCCGUUUGUUUUGAAGUCUCCGCAACGCCCUGGCCAAAUUUUGGACACAAUUGGAAACACUGGUUAUAUUACCAAGACUUUGACUGGAAUAUCAUAUUUAAAAAGAACAUACAGGCUUGGAUAUAACACGACAGCUUUUGAGGAAUGAAGGUUGACAUAUUGGAAUAAAGCCACCUGGAAAUAUUGGCCUGGUACUGUGCUUAUGGGUUCUGUAACCUGGUAAGGUUGAGCAAAGAAUGUCGCUCCCUCUGGCAGGUACCAGGAACCUCAACGUUUUGGGGAACCUCAUGAAGAGAGAAAUUCACCCAAAUCUGCAGAAAAACUUCUUAUUAAAUACCUGGUUACUUACUUACAUGAUACAGGCCCACCUUCAGGAGCCCGCCAGCAUCACUGCCUUAUUAAAAGACUGGUUCAAUGAUAGGAAACAACCUACGCCCCAUUUCAGCAGGAAGUAGCUAGAUUGGUCGCUGCCCCAAAUCCCUCAAGAUUGAGGGACGGACAUAAAAUAGGGGGGAGUUGAUAUCGACCCUGAUAUCAGUUUCCCCACACAAAACCCAGCAUAU